CCUACGGGGUGCAGCAGUGGGGAAUAUUGGACAAUGGGCGAAAGCCUGAUCCAGCCAUGCCGCGUGUGUGAAGAAGGCCUUCGGGUUGUAAAGCACUUUCAGUGGGGAAGAAAGCCUUGGGGCUAAUACCCUCGAGGAAGGACAUCACCCACAGAAGAAGCACCGGCUAACUCCGUGCCAGCAGCCGCGGUAAUACGGAGGGUGCGAGCGUUAAUCGGAAUUACUGGGCGUAAAGCGCGCGUAGGCGGUCUGAUAAGCCGGUUGUGAAAGCCCCGGGCUCAACCUGGGAACGGCAUCCGGAACUGUCAGGAUAGAGUGCAGGAGAGGAAGGUAGAAGUCCCGGUGUAGCGGUGAAAUGCGUAGAGAUCGGGAGGAAUACCAGUGGCGAAGGCGGCCUUCUGGACUGACACUGACGCUGAGGUGCGAAAGCGUGGGUAGCAAACAGGAUUAGAUACCCCGGUAGUC
rnacentral:rRNA from 1 species